rnacentral:rRNA from 1 species
GAGUUUGAUCAUGGCUCAGGAUGAACGCUGGCGGCGUGCUUAACACAUGCAAGUCGAACGAACCUUCGGGUUAGUGGCGGACGGGUGAGUAACGCGUGAGAAUCUGCCCUCAGGAGAGGGAUAACGGCUGGAAACGGCCGCUAAUACCCCAUAUGCCGCGAGGUGAAAUGAAUUUCGCCUGAGGAUGAGCUCGCGUCUGAUUAGCUAGUUGGUGGGGUAAAGGCCUACCAAGGCAUCGAUCAGUAGCUGGUCUGAGAGGAUGAUCAGCCACACUGGGACUGAGACACGGCCCAGACUCCUACGGGAGGCAGCAGUGGGGAAUUUUCCGCAAUGGGCGAAAGCCUGACGGAGCAACGCCGCGUGAGGGAUGAAGGCCUCUGGGCUGUAAACCUCUUUUAUCAAGGAAGAAGAUCUGACGGUACUUGAUGAAUAAGCCACGGCUAAUUCCGUGCCAGCAGCCGCGGUAAUACGGGAGUGGCAAGCGUUAUCCGGAAUUAUUGGGCGUAAAGCGUCCGCAGGCGGCCCUUCAAGUCUGCUGUUAAAAAGUGGAGCUUAACUCCAUCAUGGCAGUGGAAACUGUUGGGCUUGAGUGUGGUAGGGGCAGAGGGAAUUCCCGGUGUAGCGGUGAAAUGCGUAGAUAUCGGGAAGAACACCAGUGGCGAAGGCGCUCUGCUGGGCCAUCACUGACGCUCAUGGACGAAAGCCAGGGGAGCGAAAGGGAUUAGAUACCCCUGUAGUCCUGGCCGUAAACGAUGAACACUAGGUGUCGGGGGAAUCGACCCCCUCGGUGUCGUAGCCAACGCGUUAAGUGUUCCGCCUGGGGAGUACGCACGCAAGUGUGAAACUCAAAGGAAUUGACGGGGGCCCGCACAAGCGGUGGAGUAUGUGGUUUAAUUCGAUGCAACGCGAAGAACCUUACCAGGGUUUGACAUCCUGCGAAUCUCUUGGAAACGAGAGAGUGCCUUCGGGAACGCAGUGACAGGUGGUGCAUGGCUGUCGUCAGCUCGUGUCGUGAGAUGUUGGGUUAAGUCCCGCAACGAGCGCAACCCACGUCUUUAGUUGCCAGCAUUCAGUUGGGCACUCUAGAGAGACCGCCGGUGAUAAACCGGAGGAAGGUGUGGAUGACGUCAAGUCAUCAUGCCCCUUACAUCCUGGGCUACACACGUACUACAAUGCUACGGACAAAGGGCAGCAAGUUCGCGAGGACAAGCAAAUCCCAUAAACCGUGGCUCAGUUCAGAUCGUAGGCUGCAACUCGCCUACGUGAAGGAGGAAUCGCUAGUAAUCGCAGGUCAGCAUACUGCGGUGAAUACGUUCCCGGGCCCCUUGUAGACACCGCC